CUACGGGUUGCUGCAGUGGGGAAUAUUGCACAAUGGGGGAAACCCUGAUGCAGCAACGCCGCGUGGAGGAUGACGCAUUUCGGUGUGUAAACUCCUUUUAUAUAGGAAGAUAAUGACGGUACUAUAUGAAUAAGCACCGGCUAACUCCGUGCCAGCAGCCGCGGUAAUACGGAGGGUGCAAGCGUUACUCGGAAUCACUGGGCGUAAAGCGCGCGCAGGCGGCCCCUUAAGUUGGAUGUGAAAGCCUACGGCUUAACCGUAGAACUGCAUCCAAAACUGAGGGGCUAGAGUCUGGGAGGGGAAGAUGGAAUUAGUUGUGUAGGGGUAAAAUCCGUAGAGAUAACUAGGAAUACCAAAAGCGAAGGCGAUCUUCUGGAACAGUACUGACGCUGAGGCGCGAAAGCGUGGGGAGCAAACAGGAUUAGAUACCCGCGUAGUC
rnacentral:rRNA from 1 species